UACGUAGGGUGCAAGCGUUGUCCGGAAUUAUUGGGCGUAAAGAGCUCGUAGGCGGCUUGUCGCGUCUGCUGUGAAAACCCGAGGCUCAACCUCGGGCCUGCAGUGGGUACGGGCAAGCUAGAGUGCGGUAGGGGAGAUUGGAACUCCUGGUGUAGCGGUGGAAUGCGCAGAUAUCAGGAAGAACACCGAUGGCGAAGGCAGAUCUCUGGGCCGUUACUGACGCUGAGGAGCGAAAGCGUGGGGAGCGAACAGC
rnacentral:rRNA from 1 species